AAGGAAAGGCUCCGGCGCUCUGGGAGGAGCCUGCGGCCCAUCAGCUAGUUGGCGGGGUAACGGCCCACCAAGGCAAAGACGGGUAGGGGGUCUGAGAGGAUGAUCCCCCACACUGGUACUGAGACACGGACCAGACUCCUACGGGAGGCAGCAGUGAGGAAUAUUGGUCAAUGGACGCAAGUCUGAACCAGCCAUGCCGCGUGCAGGAUGAAUGCCCUAUGGGUUGUAGACUGCUUUUCUACAAGAAGAAACUUCCUGAUGUAUCAGGAACUGACGGUAUUGUAGGAAUAAGCAUCGGCUAACUCCGUGCCAGCAGCCGCGGUAAUACGGAGGAUGCAAGCGUUAUCCGGAUUCAUUGGGUUUAAAGGGUACGUAGGCGGGGUAGUAAGUCAGUGGUGAAAGCCUGCGGCUUAACCGUAGAAUUGCCAUUGAUAUUGCUAUUCUUGAGUGCAGUUGAGGUAGGCGGAAUGUGUAAUGUAGCGGUGAAAUGCUUAGAUAUUACACAGAACACCGAUUGCGUAGGCAGCUUACUAAACUGUAACUGACGCUGAGGCACGAAAGCGUGGGGAGCGAACAGGAUUAGAUACCCUGGUAGUCCACGCUGUAAACUAUGAUCACUCGCUGUUGGCGAUACAUUGUCAGCGGCUGAGCGAAAGCAUUAAGUGAUCCACCUGGGGAGUACGGCCGCAAGGUUGAAACUCAAAGGAAUUGACGGGGGCCCGCACAAGCGGUGGAACAUGUGGUUUAAUUCGAUGAUACGCGAGGAACCUUACCUGGGCUUAAAUGCAGAACGACGUACCGGGAAACUGGUACUCCCUUCGGGGCGGACUGCAAGGUGCUGCAUGGUUGUCGUCAGCUCGUGCCGUGAGGUGUCGGGUUAAGUCCCAUAACGAGCGCAACCCUCAUUGUUAGUUGCCAGCGAGUAAUGUCGGGGACUCUAACGAAACUGCCGGUGUCACCGUGAGGAAGGUGGGGAUGACGUCAAAUCAGCGCGGCCCUUAUGUCCAGGGCUACACACGUGUUACAAUGGCCAGUACAAAGGGCAGCUACCACGCGAGUGGAUGCUAAUCUCUAAAGCUGGUCUCAGUUCGGAUUGAAGUCUGCAACUCGACUUCAUGAAGCUGGAAUCGCUAGUAAUCGCGCAUCAGCCAUGGCGCGGUGAAUACGUUCCCGGGCCUUGUACACACCGCCCGUCAAGCCAUGGAAGCUUGGGGUA
rnacentral:rRNA from 1 species